rnacentral:rRNA from 1 species
GACGAACGCUGGCGGCGUGCUUAACACAUGCAAGUCGAACGGAAAGGCCCUGCUUUUGUGGGGUGCUCGAGUGGCGAACGGGUGAGUAACACGUGAGUAACCUGCCCUUGACUUUGGGAUAACUUCAGGAAACUGGGGCUAAUACCGGAUAGGAGCUCCUGCUGCAUGGUGGGGGUUGGAAAGUUUCGGCGGUUGGGGAUGGACUCGCGGCUUAUCAGCUUGUUGGUGGGGUAGUGGCUUACCAAGGCUUUGACGGGUAGCCGGCCUGAGAGGGUGACCGGCCACAUUGGGACUGAGCUACGGCCCAGACUCCUACGGGAGGCAGCAGUGGGGAAUAUUGCACAAUGGGCGGAAGGCUGAUGCAGCAACGCAGCGUGCGGGAUGACGGCCUUCGGGUUGUAAACCGCUUUCGCCUGUGACGAAGCGUGAGUGACGGUAAUGGGUAAAGAAGCACCGGCUAACUACGUG